UGGGGAAUAUUGCACAAUGGGGGAAACCCUGAUGCAGCGACGCCGCGUGAGCGAAGAAGUAUUUCGGUAUGUAAAGCUCUAUCAGCAGGGAAGAUCAUGACGGUACCUGACUAAGAAGCCCCGGCUAACUACGUGCCAGCAGCCGCGGUAAUACGUAGGGGGCAAGCGUUAUCCGGAUUUACUGGGUGUAAAGGGAGCGUAGACGGCGAAGCAAGUCUGGUGUGAAACCCCGGGGCUCAACCUCGGGCCUGCAUUGGAAACUGUUUUGCUUGAGUGCCGGAGAGGUAAGCGGAAUUCCUAGUGUAGCGGUGAAAUGCGUAGAUAUUAGGAGGAACACCAGUGGCGAAGGCGGCUUACUGAACGGCAACUGACGUUGAGGCUCGAAAGCGUGGGGAGCAAACA
rnacentral:rRNA from 1 species